rnacentral:rRNA from 1 species
UACGAAGGGGGCUAGCGUUGUUCGGAAUUACUGGGCGUAAAGCGCGCGCAGGCGGUUCGAUAAGUUGGGGGUGAAAUCCCCGGGCUCAACCCGGGAAUGGCCUUCAAGACUGUCGAUCUAGAGGACGAGAGAGGUGAGUGGAAUUCCCCAGUGUAGAGGUGAAAUUCGUAGAUAUUGGGAAGCAACACCGGUGGCGAAGGCGGCUCACUGGCUCGGUUUCUGACGCUGAGGCGCGAAAGCGUGGGAGCAACAGG